GGCUUUCUAGCUUAUUUCAGAGCGUUUACUUUGAAAGUAAAAGGUUACUUACCAGUAGAUAGCCU
rnacentral:tRNA from 1 species